AACGAACGCUGGCGGCGUGCCUAACACAUGCAAGUCGUGCGAGAAAGUUCCUUCGGGAGCGAGUAAAGCGGCGCACGGGUGAGUAACACGUAGGUAACCUGCCCCCCAGUCUGGAACAACUAGAGGAAAUUCUAGCUAAUGCCGGAUGAGACCACGAUCCCUUCGGGGGUUGCGGCCAAAGAUGGCCUCUACUUGUAAGCUAUCGCUGAGGGAUGGGCCUGCGGGCCAUUAGCUUGUUGGUGAGGUAACGGCUCACCAAGGCUGUGAUGGCUAGCUGGUCUGAGAGGAUGACCAGCCACACUGGGACUGAGACACGGCCCAGACUCCUACGGGAGGCAGCAGUGGGGAAUAUUGCGCAAUGGGCGAAAGCCUGACGCAGCGACGCCGCGUGGGUGAUGAAGGCC
rnacentral:rRNA from 1 species